CCCUUAGAUGUUCGGGGCCGCACGCGCGCUACACUGAAGGAAUCAGCACGUCUUUCUCCUUGUCCGAAAGGACUGGGUAACCCGCUGAACCUCCUUCGUGCUAGGGAUUGGGGCUUGUAAUUCUUCCCCAUGGACGAGGAAUUCCCAGUAAGCGCGAGUCAUAAGCUCGCGUUGAUUACGUCCCUGCCCUUUGUACACACCGCCCGUCGCUACUACCGAUUGAACGUUUUAGUGAGCUCCUCGGAUUGUCAGCCUGGCGGUUAAUCCUGCCUGGCUAGCGAAAAGACGAGCAAACUUGAGCGUUUAGAGGAAGUAAAAGUCGUAACA
rnacentral:rRNA from 1 species